rnacentral:rRNA from 1 species
UACGUAGGGUGCGAGCGUUAAUCGGAAUUACUGGGCGUAAAGAGUGCGCAGGCGGCUUUGCAAGACAGAUGUGAAAUCCCCGGGCUCAACCUGGGAACUGCAUUUGUGACUGCAAGGCUAGAGUACGGCAGAGGGGGAUGGAAUUCCGCGUGUAGCAGUGAAAUGCGUAGAUAUGCGGAGGAACACCAAUGGCGAAGGCAAUCCCCUGGGCCUGUACUGACGCUCAUGCACGAAAGCGUGGGGAGCAAACAGG